UCGGACCAGGCUUCAUUC
rnacentral:ncRNA from 2 species